rnacentral:misc_RNA from 1 species
GGCGUUCGUUAGAACGUC